UUAAGUUCAGCGGGUAUCCCUACCUGAUCCGAGGUCAACCGUAGAAGGGGUCGCUGGCGGGCGCGCGCCCAGGGCCGGUAGCGAGGGGUUGUACUACGCUCCAGCACCGGACGCGCCGCCACUUGCUUUGGGGCCCGCCAGACGGCGAGCCCAGGACCAGCAGGGCUGGAUAGGCUAUAAUGACGCUCGAACAGGCAUGC
rnacentral:misc_RNA from 1 species